rnacentral:rRNA from 1 species
UGUUGGGUUAAGUCCCGUAACGAGCGCAACCCUUGUCCUUAGUUACCAGCACGUUAUGGUGGCACUCUAAGGAGACUGCCGGUGACAAACCGGAGGAAGUGGGGAUGACGUCAAGUCAUCAUGGCCCUUACGGCCUGGGCUACACACGUGCUACAAUGGUCGGUACAAAGGGUUGCCAAGCCGCGAGGUGGAGCUAAUCCCAUAAAACCGAUCGUAGUCCGGAUCGCAGUCUGCAACUCGACUGCGUGAAGUCGGAAUCGCUAGUAAUCGUGAAUCCAGAAUGUCACGGUAGAAUACGUUCCCGGGCCUU